rnacentral:RNase_P_RNA from 4 species
AGAGUAGGCGCAGGUGGUUGCGGGUUAGCUUGAAAAAGUGAAUCUGAGGAAAGUCCGGACUCCCGAAAAAUCAAACUUGCUGGGUAAUGCCCAGUGCAGGUGACUGUGAGGAUAGUGCCACAGAAAGAUACCGCCUGAAGUAGGGAAUGGGGACUAGGGAAUGGGGACUAGGGAAUAGAAAAAAUCCCUAGCCCCUAGCCCCUAGCCCCUAGCCCCUAGAAAAUUUCCAGGUAAGGGUGCAAAGGUGCGGUAAGAGCGCACCAGCAGCAUCGAGAGGUGCUGGCUCGGUAAACCCCGGUUGGGAGCAAGGUGGAGGGGCUACGGUUGGUUUUUUACCAGCCCCGCUAAGUAGAGCCGCUUGAGGUGUCUGGUAACAGGCAUCCCAGAUAGAUAACUACCCUUCGGGUUGGUAACAGCCUGGAGAACAGAAUCCGGCUUAUGUCCGACUCUCUCU